GGGGAAUUUUGGACAAUGGGGGCAACCCUGAUCCAGCCAUCCCGCGUGUGCGAUGAAGGCCUUCGGGUUGUAAAGCACUUUUGGCAGGGAAGAAAAGGCUCUGGCUAAUACCUGGAGCUGCUGACGGUACCUGCAGAAUAAGCACCGGCUAACUACGUGCCAGCAGCCGCGGUAAUACGUAGGGUGCAAGCGUUAAUCGGAAUUACUGGGCGUAAAGCGUGCGCAGGCGGUUCGGCAAGAAGGAUGUGAAAUCCCAGGGCUUAACCUUGGAACUGCAUUCUUAACUGCCGGGCUAGAGUAUGUCAGAGGGGGGUAGAAUUCCGCGUGUAGCAGUGAAAUGCGUAGAGAUGCGGAGGAAUACCGAUGGCGAAGGCAGCCCCCUGGGAUAAUACUGACGCUCAUGCACGAAAGCGUGGGGAGCAAAC
rnacentral:rRNA from 1 species